UACGGAGGGGGCUAGCGUUGUUCGGAAUUACUGGGCGUAAGGCGCACGUAGGCGGCUUUGUAAGUUAGAGGUGAAAGCCCGGGGCUCAACUCCGGAAUUGCCUUUAAGACUGCAUCGCUAGAACGUCGGAGAGGUAAGUGGAAUUCCGAGUGUAGAGGUGAAAUUCGUAGAUAUUCGGAAGAACACCAGUGGCGAAGGCGACUGACUGGACAAGUAUUGACGCUGAGGUACGAAAGCGUGGGGAGCAAACAGG
rnacentral:rRNA from 1 species